GCAGCCACAAAGCCAGCAGACUGCCUGCUGAUGUUGAUCAUUUCCUCUGGGAUCAGUCGCCAAUUAUGCUUUGAAACCCAGUCCUGCUCUGACCCAACGGAAACUCUAAAAAGGUUUACCCAUACCGGAUUCCUUUCCUACUCACCUGCAUUCUCACGUCCUGACAUCUCGUCUUCAGCCUGCCAACCUGCAAAGAGGAAAAGAAACAUUGUUACUCCUUACCUGACUCACCUACCUGGACUCUCACCCGUUACCCGCCUGUCUUCGCCGUCUGCAUCAUGUCGGGCCUGUAAAGAGAUACAAGGAUCGGUUAUCAACCUGCGCGAAGUCCAGUCAUUCUCAAAGACUCUUGAGUUACUCACCCGUUUGCUCUGCAUCUCUCCCCUCCGC
rnacentral:lncRNA from 1 species